UACGUAGGGUGCGAGCGUUAAUCGGAAUUACUGGGCGUAAAGCGUGCGCAGGCGGUUCGUUGUGUCGGUGGUGAAAUCCCCGGGCUUAACCUGGGAAUGGCCAUGGAAACUGGCGAACUGGAGUGCGGCAGAGGGGGUGGAAUUCCGCGUGUAGCAGUGAAAUGCGUAGAGAUGCGGAGGAACACCGAUGGCGAAGGCAGCCCCCUGGGCUAGCACUGACGCUCAGGCACGAAAGCGUGGGGAGCAAACAGG
rnacentral:rRNA from 1 species